rnacentral:rRNA from 1 species
AACGAACGCUGGCGGCAGGCUUAACACAUGCAAGUCGAACGCACCUUUCGGGGUGAGUGGCAGACGGGUGAGUAACGCGUGGGAAUCUACCCUUCUCUACGGGAUAGCUCCGGGAAACUGGAAUUAAUACCGUAUACGUCCUGAGGGAGAAAGAUUUAUCGGGGAAGGAUGAGCCCGCGUUGGAUUAGCUAGUUGGUGGGGUAAGGGCCUACCAAGGCGACGAUCCAUAGCUGGUCUAAGAGGAUGAUCAGCCACAUUGGGACUGAGACACGGCCCAAACUCCUACGGGAAGCAGCAGUGGGGAAUAUUGGACAAUGGGCGCAAGCCUGAUCCAGCCAUGCCGCGUGAGUGAUGAAGGCCCUAGGGUUGUAAAGCUCUUUCAGUGGGGACGAUAAUGACGGUACCCACAGAAGAAGCCCCGGCUAACUUCGUG